AACGAACGCUGGCGGCAUGCCUAACACAUGCAAGUCGAACGAAGCCUUCGGGCUUAGUGGCGCACGGGUGCGUAACGCGUGGGAAUCUGCCCUUGGGUUCGGAAUAACAGUUAGAAAUGACUGCUAAUACCGGAUGAUGUCUUCGGACCAAAGAUUUAUCGCCCAAGGAUGAGCCCGCGUAGGAUUAGGUAGUUGGUGGGGUAAUGGCCCACCAAGCCGACGAUCCUUAGCUGGUCUGAGAGGAUGAUCAGCCACACUGGGACUGAGACACGGUCCAGACUCCUACGGGAGGCAGCAGUGGGGAAUAUUGGACAGUGGGCGCAAGCCUGAUCCAGCCAUGCCGCGUGAACGAUGAAGGCCUUAGGGUUGUAAAGUUCUUUUGUCAGGGAAGAUAAUGACGGUACCUGAAGAAUAAGCACCGGCUAACUUCGUGCCAGCAGCCGCAGUAA
rnacentral:rRNA from 1 species